rnacentral:lncRNA from 1 species
GAUGCUCUUUCCAGUCCAGAGGUUGACGCUCUUUCCAGUCCAGAGGUUGACGCUCCUUUGUGUCCAGAGGUUGACGUCCCCUCCUAUCUAGAGGUCAAUGUCCCCUGCUGUCCAGAGGUCGCCGUUCCCUCCAGUCCAGAGGUCGACGAUCCCUCCAGUCCAGAGGUCGACGAUCCCUCCAGUCCAGAGGUCGACGUCCCCUCCAGUCCAGAGGUCGACGUCCCCUCCAGUCCAGAGGCCGACAUCCCCUCCAGUCCAGAGGUCGACGUCCCCUCCAGUCCUGUGGUCGACGUCCCCUCCAGUCCAGAGGCCGACGUCCCCUCCAGUCCAGAGUUCGACGUCCCCUCCAGUCCAGAGGUCGACGUCCCCUCCAGUCCAGAGGCCGACAUCCCCUCCAGUCCAGAGGUCAAUGUCCCUCCAGUCAUCUUAGGUGUGUUCUUGCUGUGUCUUUCUAAUUCCAUUCUUUCGUUCUUUUUUAAACACAGAAACAGUUUUGUUUACCUGUUUGUAGCUACAGUUUCGCCGACGGCUGCCGGCUUCUUCAGGCUGACGCUGAUGGUGGCGCGUCACUUCCUUCUCCAGUCAAACGUCGCCGUCUCCAGUCCCGUGGUCGACGCCAUCUCCAGUCCAGUGGUCGACACCGUUGUCUCCAGUCCAGUGGUCGACACCGUUGUCUCCAGUCCAGUGGUCGACACCGUUGUCUCCAGCCCAGUGGUCGGCGCUGCCGCCUCCAGUCCAAAAGUCAAGGACGUCUCCUCCAGCGUCUCUGCUUCCGGUCACCGCUGUUCUUGCCCUCGCCAGACGCAGGCCCCCAAGGGCCCGUUGUCGCCUCCUCCCCUGCCCCAGGCGCAGGCCCCCGGACUCUACUGGUCCCUGCCUCCUCUCCAUCGGUCCCUCUUGGCCCUCCCUCCGGGUCCCCCUCCUCCCACCCGCUCUGUGUUCCUAUGGGCGUCUGGAAUCCGCCCUUUUUUUUGGGGGGGGGGGGGGGGUACUGUCACACCCUGUCCUGUCUCCCCAUUCUGUUCAGCCAUGUGUCUCUGUUAA